GCCGGCGUGGCGGAACAGGCAGACGCACAGGACUUAAAAUCCUGCGGGACUUACCUCCCGUACCGGUUCGAUUCCGGUCGCCGGCA
rnacentral:tRNA from 7 species